rnacentral:lncRNA from 1 species
UUAGUGUUUCCUAGGGAACGAUAACUGCCCACUUAGUCAGUGGUGGACCGUUGAAUUCCUACUUCCUAGGAAGACAUGGAUUAACGUGUUGACCCUGACUUCUCUCUGACUGAGGAACAUCAUUUCUUAUGUUUAUCAAGAAUGGGUGAGUAGAGAGCACUCAGGGCUAUGUGGUGUAACACCCUGAUUCUAGUAUAUUUAUUUUUAAUUAAAUUAAAAUUAAUUUUUAUUUAA